UUAAUUAAAAGAGGCAGGAUUAUAUUUCACGAAGUUGGGGGAGCUAGCUACCAUAUAUUUAUAGAUAAAGAAGUGUUGCAGAACCAAUUAAAUAGUAGCUAGGAGUGAUAGGCUUACCACACCCAACGAUACCUUGUUGAUUUUUAAAUGUAUUAGUACGCAGUCACUCUUAAAGUGAUUAGGCUUUAAGGGGUUAAUCAAUUUUUAAGAUUUAAACAUAUAUUAUUUAACCAUUAAUAUAAUAAUAAUAUAAUAUUAUUUUAAUUUUGUUGUUUAUCAUAAGGAUCUAUAAUUCAAUUUUUUUAAAAUAUAAUUAAUGUUAAUAUUAGUAACGUAAGAUAUUAAUAAUGAACUCGGCAAGAAGUCUUUCAACUGUUUAUCAAAAACAUAGCUGUUUGAAUUAAUAAACAGUAUUUUCUGCUCAAUGAGUAUUUAAAUAGCCGCAGUACCCUGACUGUGCUAAGGUAGCGCAAUCAAUUGACUUUUAAAUGAAGUCCUGUAUGAAAGAAAUUAUGGAGGGUUACUCUCUCAUUAAUAGCAAAUGAAUUUACUUAUGGAGUGCAAAUUCUUCUGUUUAAAUAAUAGACGAGAAGACCCUAGAAAUUUUAAGAAGUAACUUUUUGUUGGGGCAACAAAGUAGCAAAGUAAUCUACUAUUAUUACCAGAAAAAAGUAGUUGGCAAGAUUAAAUUACUCUAGGGAUAACAGCAUAAUUUGGAAAAGUUUGUGACCUCGAUGUUGGAUUAGGGAAUUUUCGUUUAGAAG
rnacentral:rRNA from 1 species